rnacentral:rRNA from 1 species
UACACAUGCAGUCGAACGAUGAACUCCAGCUUGCUGGGGGGAUUAGUGGCGAACGGGUGAGUAACACGUGAGUAACCUGCCCUUGACUCUGGGAUAAGCGUUGGAAACGACGUCUAAUACCGGAUACGACCAGCCCUGGCAUCGGGUGUUGGUGGAAAGAAUUUUGGUCAAGGAUGGACUCGCGGCCUAUCAGGUAGUUGGUGAGGUAAUGGCUCACCAAGCCUACGACGGGUAGCCGGCCUGAGAGGGUGACCGGCCACACUGGGACUGAGACACGGCCCAGACUCCUACGGGAGGCAGCAGUGGGGAAUAUUGCACAAUGGGCGAAAGCCUGAUGCAGCAACGCCGCGUGAGGGACGACGGCCUUCGGGUUGUAAACCUCUUUUAGCAGGGAAGAAGCGAAAGUGACGGUACCUGCAGAAAAAGCACCGGCUAACUACGUGCCAGCAGCCGCGGUAAUACGUAGGGUGCAAGCGUUGUCCGGAAUUAUUGGGCGUAAAGAGCUCGUAGGCGGUUUGUCGCGUCUGCUGUGAAAACCCGAGGCUCAACCUCGGGCCUGCAGUGGGUACGGGCAGACUAGAGUGCGGUAGGGGAGAUUGGAAUUCCUGGUGUAGCGGUGGAAUGCGCAGAUAUCAGGAGGAACACCGAUGGCGAAGGCAGAUCUCUGGGCCGUUACUGACGCUGAGGAGCGAAAGGGUGGGGAGCAAACAGGC